AUACGUAGGGGGCGAGCGUUGUCCGGAAUGAUUGGGCGUAAAGGGCGCGUAGGCGGCGCGGUAAGUCUGGAGUGAAAGUCCUGCUUUCAAGGUGGGAAUUGCUUUGGAUACUGCCGCGCUUGAGUGCAGGAGAGGUUAUCGGAAUUCCCGGUGUAGCGGUGAAAUGCGUAGAGAUCGGGAGGAACACCAGUGGCGAAGGCGGGUAACUGGACUGCAACUGACGCUGAGGCGCGAAAGUGUGGGGAGCAAACAGGAUUAGAUACCCUGGUAGUCCACACUGUAAACGAUGAAUGCUAGGUGUAAGAGGUAUCGACCCCUUUUGUGCCGGAGUCAACACAAAAAGCAUUCCGCCUGGGGAGUACGGCCGCAAGGUUGAAACUCAAAGGAAUUGACGGGG
rnacentral:rRNA from 1 species